rnacentral:tRNA from 1 species
UCCCUACUGGCCUAGUGGUUAGGGCUCUGCACUUCCACUGCAGGGAGCAUGGGUUUGAUCCUUAGCUGGGGAA